GGCAGGGAGUUGCAAGCCUGACAUGGUCGAGGAACAAGAAGGUGGCCGGUGGAGCUGAAGGAUGAUGUUCGAGAGGACGUGAAGCACAAGAUAAUUCUCAAAUGUGAGAUCGAAGGAAAGACAACCAGACUGGUAUCACCACAGGACGACCAAGCCAUGCCUAGAAAGUUUGAGGGAAACUGUUGUUCAACCUGGAAUUCUUUCCACUGAGGGUGAGUGCAGAAUGAGACUUACAGACUUUCAGACUUACAAGAACUCAGAAAUUUUUACCUAUGAAGCACUUUCCUCAGGGUUUUUACAUGGCGGUCUACUCCUGUGGGGUGAGGACAAGAGGAGGUAGGAGCCUACCCAGGAGGACGGUGAAGCCAAGUGCCGCUGUGAGAGCCGUGCCUCUCCUGGACAACGAGUGGUUCAGAAUGGAACAGGUCUGGAAGAGGUUUUUGAGUAUUUUUAGUUUUUACUUGUGCUCCUUCCAAUCCAUUUUCUACAAUGUUGCUCAGCAUCCCCGUGGGGCUACUGUGGCAAGAGAGUUGACCCUUCUCAAUGUGUUUAUAAGACCUGGAGCAGAGUCACAGAAGGGACUGUGAACGGGUACAUGAAGAUUGAAGCAGCCUUAUUCAUAACAGCCAAAAACUGAAAACAACUCAAACGUCCACAAACGGAUAAACAGGGACCCAGUUUUCCUAGAGGUAGACCAGAUGCACAACAAGUUGGAUCACAGAACUGGGGCAACAAAUCUCUCUAGAAAGUGUGUUGAGUACAACACUGAAUUAGGGAACAGUGCCCUGAACUUCAGGUUCACCUUCAGCGUUUCUCUACAGGAAGCUCCAAGGAUGGUCCCUUCCUGUAGAAAGCUCAUGAUCACCUAGGGAGGUUGGCCAAUUCAUGUCAAGAAAGAGCUCAGGAUGCAGGUGUUUCUGCUUUUUCUUCUCCAUGAGGGAGUAAACAUGAGGCUGGCCAGAGGACGUGAGCUUGGAAAGAGGCACAGCAUCGACCUUCACGUGUAAGCCACCAAGUUUUGUUUGACAUGUUCGACAUUUCCUUUUCUUACAAAUGCCUAUCUAUGCCAUUCUCUGUCAGAUUGAACACAGAGACUGUAUUUCUCAAAGUAAUGCAACUCCAACUUACUUUAAGUGCAAGGAGGCAUAGGGCAAGGUUACACUCAAGCCAUUACCAAGAAAGCAAGAGGGAUUGCUGGAGUCUUCCAGCACUUACCUUGAUUACUUGGGAUGUGAUCAGGGCAGGGACAGCUGGAUGCACACAGUGGCAUGGGGCAAACGUGGGAGUAAAGGGUUAACUGUCAGGGUUAAAAUUCAGGACACCCGUUUUAAUUUGAAUUCCAGAUAAACAACAAGUAAUUUUUUAGUGUAAGUGUGUUGUCCCAUGAAAUACAUGUUUGUUUGAAAUUCGAGUUUAAUUGGGAGUCGUCCUUUUUUAUUCACUGAAUUUGGACCCUGGAACACACUGCUACACUGUAAUUGUCGUGAUUGUGUUGUAAUAAUCGCUGGCUUGUUUCCUGUUGCUUUGAAUCUUUUGAUUCCUUCAAGUAUGCC